GCCUGGGUGGCUCAGUUGGUUAAGCAUCCGACUUUGGCUCAGGUCACGAUCUCGCGGUUCGUGGGUUCGAGCCCCGCGUCGGGCU
rnacentral:tRNA from 1 species